UACGUAGGUGGCAAGCGUUAUCCGGGUUUAUUGGGUGUAAAGGGCGUGUAGGCGGGAGCGCAAGUCAGAUGUGAAAACUCAGGGCUCAACCCUGAGCCUGCAUUUGAAACGGUGUUUCUUGAGUGCUGGAGAGGCAAUCGGAAUUCCGUGUGUAGCGGUGAAAUGCGUAGAUAUACGGAGGAACACCAGUGGCGAAGGCGGAUUGCUGGACAGUAACUGACGCUGAGGCGCGAAAGCGUGGGGAGCAAACAGG
rnacentral:rRNA from 1 species